rnacentral:rRNA from 1 species
UACGAAGGGGGCUAGCGUUGUUCGGAAUCACUGGGCGUAAAGCGCACGUAGGCGGACAUUUAAGUCAGGGGUGAAAUCCCGAGGCUCAACCUCGGAACUGCCCUUGAUACUGGGUGUCUUGAGUAUGGUAGAGGUUGGUGGAACUGCGAGUGUAGAGGUGAAAUUCGCAGAUAUCAGGAGGAACACCGGUGGCGAAGGCGGGUCUCUGGGCCGAUACUGACGCUGAGGAGCGAAAGCGUGGGGAGCGAACAGG